GCCUCCGUAGCUCAACUGGAUAGAGCGAGGGCGUUCUAAGCCCGAGGUUGUAGGUUCGACUCCUACCGGGGGCA
rnacentral:tRNA from 1 species